AAGCUCGUAGUUGAAUUUCGGGGUUCUACCGUUGGUCGGGCUUUGUCUGUACUGGCGUGUAGAAUUUCUACCUUCUGGGGAACCAUUAUGUUAUUAAUUUAGCGUGGUGGAAAACCAGGACCUUUACCUUGAAAAAAUUAGAGUGUUCAAAGCAGGCUUAUGUCUGAAUACAUUAGCAUGGAAUAAUAGAAUAGGACGGUGGUCCUGUUUUGUUGGUUUCUGAAUCACCGUAAUGAUUAAUAGGGAUAGUUGGG
rnacentral:rRNA from 1 species